rnacentral:rRNA from 1 species
UACGUAGGGUGCAAGCGUUAAUCGGAAUUACUGGGCGUAAAGCGUGCGCAGGCGGUUGUGCAAGACAGAUGUGAAAUCCCCGGGCUCAACCUGGGAACUGCAUUUGUGACUGCACAGCUUGAGUGCGGCAGAGGGGGAUGGAAUUCCGCGUGUAGCAGUGAAAUGCGUAGAUAUGCGGAGGAACACCGAUGGCGAAGGCAAUCCCCUGGGCCUGCACUGACGCUCAUGCACGAAAGCGUGGGAGCAAACAGG